rnacentral:rRNA from 1 species
AUUGAACGCUGGCGGCAGGCCUAACACAUGCAAGUCGAGCGGAUGAAGGGAGCUUGCUCCUGGAUUCAGCGGCGGACGGGUGAGCAAUGCCUAGGAAUCUGCCUGGUAGUGGGGGAUAACGUCCGGAAACGGGCGCUAAUACCGCAUACGUCCUGAGGGAGAAAGUGGGGGAUCUUCGGACCUCACGCUAUCAGAUGAGCCUAGGUCGGAUUAGCUAGUUGGUGGGGUAAAGGCCUACCAAGGCGACGAUCCGUAACUGGUCUGAGAGGAUGAUCAGUCACACUGGAACUGAGACCCGGUCCAGACUCCUACGGGAGGCAGCAGUGGGGAAUAUUGGACAAUGGGCGAAAGCCUGAUCCAGCCAUGCCGCGUGUGUGAAGAAGGUCUUCGGAUUGUAAAGCACUUUAAGUUGGGAGGAAGGGCAGUAAGUUAAUACCUUGCUGUUUUGACGUUACCAACAGAAUAAGCACCGGCUAACUUCGUG